rnacentral:rRNA from 1 species
GGAGUUAGCCGGUGCUUCUUCUGUGAGUGAUGUCCUUCCUGCCGGCUAUUAACCCGCAGGCCUUCUUCCUCACUGAAAGUGCUUUACAACCCGAAGGCCUUCUUCACACACGCGGCAUGGCUGGAUCAGGGUUGCCCCCAUUGUCCAAUAUUCCCCACUGCUGCCUCCCGUAGGAGUCUGGGCCGUGUCUCAGUCCCAGUGUGGCUGAUCAUCCUCUCAGACCAGCUACGGAUCGUCGCCUUGGUGAGCCGUUACCUCACCAACCAGCUAAUCCGACAUAGGCUCAUCCGAUAGCGCGAGGCCCGAAGGUCCCCCGCUUUCCCCCGUAGGGCGUAUGCGGUAUUAGCCUGGGUUUCCCCCAGGUUAUCCCCCACUACCGGGCAGAUUCCUAUGCAUUACUCACCCGUCCGCCGCUCGCCACCAGGGAGCAAGCUCCCCGUGCUGCCGCUCGACUUGCAUGUGUUAGGCCUGCCGCCAGCGUUCAUCUGAGCCAGAAUACGAACCCGUACGA